rnacentral:snoRNA from 1 species
UGCCUCCUGGUGCUUACCAAAUUUGUGCUCUUAUACUGUCUAUAUAGAAAAAGGAGAGAAAGUAAACCAGCCCUAUAUAUACCUCUGUCUAGGCCCUGUGCCUGGUAUACAUUGUGAUUGGGAAGUCAUGG